rnacentral:rRNA from 1 species
GAUGAACGCUAGCGGCAGGCUUAACACAUGCAAGUCGAGGGGCAGCACGGGUAGCAAUACCUGGUGGCGACCGGCGGAAGGGUGCGUAACGCGUGAGCAACAUGCCCUAUACAGGGGAAUAAUCCAGGGAAACUUGGUCUAAUGCCCCAUAGCAAUAAGAUAAGGCAUCUUAUUUUAUUUAAAGCUUCGGUGGUAUAAGAUUGGCUCGCGUGACAUUAGCUGGAUGGUGGGGUAACGGCCCACCAUGGCGAUGAUGUCUAGGGGUUCUGAGAGGAAGACCCCCCACACUGGGACUGAGACACGGCCCAGACUCCUACGGGAGGCAGCAGUGAGGAAUAUUGGACAAUGGAUGAAAAUCUGAUCCAGCCAUGCCGCGUGCAGGAAGACGGCCCUAUGGGUUGUAAACUGCUUUUCUACGGGAGCAAUAAGGUCUACGAGUAGACUGAUGAGAGUACCGUAGGAAUAAGCAUCGGCUAACUCCGUGCCAGCAGCCGCGGUAAUACGGAGGAUGCGAGCGUUAUCCGGAUUUAUUGGGUUUAAAGGGUGCGUAGGCGGCUUUUUAAGUCAGCGGUGAAAUUUUGCAGCUUAACUGUAACAGUGCCGUUGAUACUGGGGAGCUAGGGUUUGGUUGCUGUGGGUGGAAUGUGUGGUGUAGCGGUGAAAUGCUUAGAGAUCACACAGAAUAUCGAUUGCGAAGGCAGCUCACAAAGCCAAGAUUGACGCUGAGGCACGAAAGUGCGGGGAUCAAACAGGAUUAGAUACCCUGGUAGUCCACACUGUAAACGAUGAUAACUCGCUGUCGGCGAUACACAGUCGGUGGCCAAGCGAAAGCGAUAAGUUAUCCACCUGGGGAGUACGACCGCAAGGUUGAACUCAAAGGAAUUGACGGGGGCCCGCACA